rnacentral:rRNA from 1 species
GAUGAACGCUGGCGGCGUGCCUAAUACAUGCAAGUCGAGCGAACGGACGAGAAGCUUGCUUUUCUGAUGUUAGCGGCGGACGGGUGAGUAACACGUGGAUAACCUACCUAUAAGACUGGGAUAACUUCGGGAAACCGGAGCUAAUACCGGAUAAUAUUUUGAACCGCAUGGUUCAUAAGUGAAAGACGGUCUUGCUGUCACUUAUAGAUGGAUCCGCGCUGCAUUAGCUAGUUGGUAAGGUAACGGCUUACCAAGGCAACGAUGCAUAGCCGACCUGAGAGGGUGAUCGGCCACACUGGAACUGAGACACGGUCCAGACUCCUACGGGAGGCAGCAGUAGGGAAUCUGCCGCAAUGGGCGAAAGCCUGACGGAGCAACGCCGCGUGAGCGAUGAAGGUCUUCGGAUCGUAAAACUCUGUUAUUAGGGAAGAACAUAUGUGUAAGUAACUGUGCACAUCUUGACGGUACCUAAUCAGAAAGCCACGGCUAACUACGUG